GGCUGUAUAGUGUAGUGGUUUAGCACACGGGAUUUUGACAUCAUACCCGGGUUCAAACCGGUAAUUUCUAUGAUUACGUAAUUCCCGCGACCCCGGUUCGAACCCGGGUACGGCCU